CAACCCUCAAGCUCUGCUUGGUAUUGGGCACUGCAGGUAACUGCAGGCCUUAAAAUCAGUGGCGGUGCCAUUCGGCUUCAAGCGUAGUAAUUCUUCUCGCUUUGGAGACCCGAGUGGUUACUAGCCAUCAACCCCCAAUUUUUUCA
rnacentral:misc_RNA from 1 species